GCACCUGUGCUUAUAGCUGAGGAGGGAGGACUAACUACACCACCAAAUACUCUUUUAGAUGGAAGGAAAGCUGCAAGCCUGGGAGUUGCAAGAAAACUAGACAUUACCAGCAUCAAAUCAUCCACAGAGCACUCUAACUAAAAGGAGAACAUUAUGGCAAUGCAGGUGAAGGAAAGAAAAUGUAACAGAUGCAAGGUUUAAAUUUCAAUGGAGUGAACAAUUUCAGUUCCCAUCUUCUGCUCAUAUCAAAAUGUUGCUGAUCAGUGAAGGGACAGCUUUCCAGAUACGCAGUGUUUAUCACCCAGGUGCUGAAGCCAAAGACGUACAUGCGAUGCUUUCCAGCACACUGCCUUUGCAUUUUCCUAGAAGAAAGCUUGAAAUUAUUUUGUGCGGGUGAAAGCUGCUUGCAAAAUGGACCAACAGAAAAGAAUGAGAUCAGAAAAUGUCUGACAUAAAUAUAUAUAUAAUUUUAUUUUAUUUUAUUUCAUCAGCAUAUUUUGAAUUUUAUUGAAUUACUACUAAAGGGUAACUAAUUUUCCUGGAAAAUUCUAAUUGGAGAAACGCUUUUUAAUGAGUGGUAUUCAGGACCUAAGCCUUUUGUUACUCCAGAAAAAAAGGUCUUUAGAUAACGUUAUACUUUGUAGAGUAUUUCAGCUAUCAAGGUCAGGCUUUAGAGUUUACAGCUCAGUUUCUUAAUGUCCUGAGGUUCCAACUGAACUGAUUCACCAUAACAUGCCUACCUUCCCUAUUUAGUCUGAGAACUGGGUUUAAUGUACGGAAGCAAACCCACAGGAUUAUGGAAAAGCCUUCAGCAUAGACGGUGUCUCCACAUUGACAUUUUCCCCCCACAUUUGUUGUAUCCACUUCAGAGAGCAUCAUAUCAAGAAGCUGAAAUAUGAGAAAAGAUCUUUUUGUCCUGGAGAACUUUGCAGUCCUUUGGUGAUUGAUUCACCCUUAAUGAAAGGAAAAAUUUUCUGUCCCAGAUUCUUGAUUUUAUUUCUUGCUCUUGUUGUUGCCUGUAACUAAUGUAUAGUUAGAAAACAACCACAUCCAGAUUUAAUUACUCCUUUCCCUUUCUGAGGUAUGUUGAAGGUAUGGGAGGGUCAGUAAUAUAUGGGAGAUUAUUUAAUUUGUAUCUUCUUGGUCUUCUGAGUAGGGGAAUAAAGGAAAAAAAAAAAAAAAAAAGAGUCUGUAG
rnacentral:lncRNA from 1 species